rnacentral:rRNA from 1 species
GUCUUCUAGCCCACCAAAUUAGAAGUCGAACCUGCCCAGUGAAUUUAACAGUUUCAACGGCCGCGGUAACCUGACCGUGCUAAGGUAGCGUAAUCAAUUGCCCUUUAAUUGUGGGCCAGUAUGAAUGGUUUGACAAGAGCUUAACUGUCUCAGAAAGUCUAGUGAAAAUUAACUUUUAGGUGCAAAGGCCUAAAUACUAAUGAAAGACAAGAAGACCCUAUCGAGCUUUAGUUUAUAUUAUUGUAUAUAAUUUUAUAAACUUUUAUUGGGGCAAUAAAGGAGCAACUAAACCCUCCUUAAUAAAGCUAGAUACACUAAUUUAUAAACGACACAUUUUCAAAUGAUCUUUGGUACAAGCUACCGUAGGGAUAACAGACUUAUUUUCCUUGAGAGUUCGCAUUGACAGGAAAGUUUGGCACCUCGAUGUUGGCUUAAAAAAACAGUUAGAAGUAGCCCUCUAACCUUGUAGGUUUGUUCACCCUUUAAUUUUUUA